GUCGGAUACAUGGUGGUCUCGUGUCUCCUGGCGGAGCUGUGCCGUAAUGAGCAAAAAGUUAGCUGUGCAUUAACGGUUUUAGGUCGAGCUAACUAGCAGAGGUGACUGGAAGUUCCUGUGGUUCUCCUUCCGGGGUGUCCAGUACCAGUACAACCGCCUGAUGUUCAUGCUCCCUGGCACUGCGCACUUUCUCCAAGUGUGUCGAGGCGGCUCUGGAGCCACUGUGGCGGUUGGGCAUUAGGGUCCUGUUUUGUCAUGUCGACCCAGUGAGACAGAGAUAGCGCCUGUGGAUUUGAAUCUGGCCUACUGGCGGGGCCCCCUCUCUCUUUCGGUCGGGGUUCCCCUGGGCAGGGUCACGUCCCAUAUCUCGCCUCCCUGAUGGGCUGGGGCAGGACCUGUCUCUCUCAAGUGGUAGGCGGUCUGUGGCAGGGCCACAUGCCUCUCCACAUAAACGUGCCAGAACUCCUCACGGUGUGGAAGGUGAUCCGACACUUUGCCCCUCUGCUGCGGGACCAGCACAUGCUGGUCCGCACUGACAAUAGGGCUGCAGCGGCCACCAGGGCGGGGUGCGAUCAGCACAGCUGCUGGGCUUGUCAAGGCGCAUGCUUGUGGACAGGGGACUGGCGUUCAGCACCUACACUGCCGCAAUCUCGUCCUGUCACGAACACCGUCCUGUCACGAGGCUUUUAAUGACAGGACGGUGUUUGUCCCCCUGAUAAAAGGGGUGUGGAGGCACAGGCCAGUGACACGGCCUGUUGAUCUACAGUGGGAUUUGCCGCUGGUCUGAUACAUGCAAACCCAAGCCCCUUUUGAGCCUUUACGGCGAACUUGAAGUUUCUUUUGGCCAAGGUCGCUUGCUUGUGGCUCUGAAAUCGGCCAAGAGGGUCAGCGAUCUGGCUGCCCUCUCUAUGACUCCAUCGUGUCUCAGGAUUCAGGGUGACAGCAGCUCAGCUGUCCUGUGCCCCAAUUCUGCAUUGUCAUAAAAGGCAGUGGCCUGGCUGGCUGGUCUUCUGCUGGUGGCUCGGUCUGCAGAAGGUCUGGUAACUGGAGGCUCUGCCAGUUGUGAGCAGGUCUGGUCUGCAGACCCCUGCUGGUAUGAGCAGGUUGGGGUUUGUGGGUCCUGGAAGAGAGGUGUGGAGGAGAUUGUGCCCUCUGGGGCACUCCCAAGCCCUGAACCUCCAAAUAUUUCAUCCAUGUGCUGUGAAGAGAGACAGAUUUAAAUCAAACGUUGUUUCUUGUUCUUCUAUCUGCUCAUUUGUAAAGCACUCAGUGUAUAAAUUGUGCUAUAUUAAUAAACUUGCCUUGCCAAAAACUG